GGAGAGAAAGAGAGGGGGAGGGAGGGAGAGGGAGAGAACAGGGAAUACAGAUGCUCCUUCACCCAACCAACUUCUCCUUUCAAAAGCUGAAAAAUUUAGCUCCCUCGCUAGCUCCAGGCACUAGGAUCUCCAUGUAGUCCUCAACUUAGUGACCAUGCAAAGUUACAA